rnacentral:rRNA from 1 species
CCUACGGGAGGCAGCAGUGGGGAAUAUUGCACAAUGGGGGGAACCCUGAUGCAGCGACGCCGCGUGAGUGAAGAAGUCUUUCGGUAUGUAAAGCUCUAUCAGCAGGGAAGAAAAUGACGGUACCUGACUACGCAUCCCCGGCUACCUCCGUGCCAGCAGCCGCGGUCAUACGGAGGGGGCAAGCGUUAUCCGGAUUUACUGGGUGUAAAGGGAGCGUAGACGGUUAUGCAAGUCUGAAGUGAAAGCACAAGGCUCAACCAUGGGACUGCUUUGGAAACUGUAAAACUGGAGUGCAGGAGAGGGAAGCGGAAUUCCGAGUGUAGCGGUGAAAUGCGUAGAUAUGAGGAGGAACACCAGUGGCGAAGGCGGCUGACUGGACUGGAACUGACGUUGAGGCUCGAGGCGUGGGGAGCAAACAGGAUUAGAUACCCUUGUAGUC